rnacentral:rRNA from 1 species
UACGUAGGGGGCAAGCGUUGUCCGGAAUCAUUGGGCGUAAAGCGCGUGUAGGCGGCUCGGUAAGUCUGCUCUGAAAGUCCAAGGCUCAACCUUGGGAUGCGGGUGGAUACUGCCGGGCUCGAGUCCGGAAGAGGCGAGUGGAACUCCUGGUGUAGCGGUGGAAUGCGCAGAUAUCAGGAAGAACACCAACGGCGAAGGCAGCUCGCUGGGACGGUACUGACGCUGAGACGCGAAAGCGUGGGGAGCGAACAGG